rnacentral:lncRNA from 1 species
UUAACAUCAUCUAAUGAACAGGAAGCAAUGGAGGUGGAACAUAGUGCUGCUUGUAAAAGCAGCGCAAGCAAUGGUGCGUGUGGACAAAAAGAUGUAAGCAUAACGCAUAACCCUUUAUAAAUAUAAUUCUUUAUAUUACAAUAAUCAUAAUCAAAAUAUAUUGUUUAAACAUGAGAAAAAUGCAAUUUAAAACUAAUGGAAUAAAGAUAUUUUUUUCUUAAAAAAUUUAUAAAUUAAAU